UAAAUGGCAUUCCUAUUGUUUACAUCAAGAUUCUUGUACCUUUCGAAGAUUAAAAUCUGUUGCUUUAAGAACUAAUAUUUGGACCAGCUUAGAUGAUCAUGUAUUGUAGCAAUGUGAUGUUACUGACUUUUUCCCUCCAUAGCUUAGACUUAUACCUUGCUUGUUCUCUAUUUAUGUGCAUGUUUAAGAUAUAUUAUCAUGAUACAGUGUAAUGUUUUGGCA
rnacentral:lncRNA from 1 species